CUUUACAAUGCGGGAAACCGUGAUAAGGGAACCCCGAGUGCCCGUAAAUUCGGGCUGUUCACCAGUGCAAACAGCUGGUGGAGAAAGGGCCGGGCAAGACCGGUGCCAGCCGCCGCGGUAAUACCGGCGGCUCGAGUGGUGGCCACUAUUACUGGGCUUAAAGCGUCCGUAGCUGGGUUGUUAAGUCUCUGGGGAAAUCUUCCGGNUUAACCGGAAGGCGUCUCAGGGAUACUGGCAAUCUAGGGGAUCGGAAGAGGUUGAGGGGUACUCCAGGGGGUAGAGUGAAAUCCUGUAAUCCUUGGGGGGACCACUGU
rnacentral:rRNA from 1 species